rnacentral:sRNA from 12 species
UAUCUACAUCGUCGGGAUAAAAGACAGCAGGGUGUAGGUGUAAUCCGCUACUGUGGGAAAGUAAAUUUAACAGCGGUAUGGGUGGCGAAGUUAGCGCCCUAUUUACGAACGGCUGACGCGU